AGGGGNAAGNNGUUUNNNNUUNCCCNCUGCUCAGAUUGAACGCUCGGCGGACGUAGCUUUAGCCCCGUGCNCAAGUCGAACGGCAGCAUGAUUUGGGGUUGNCUAGAUUGAUGGCUUGUGGCGAACGGGUGAGUAAUACAUCGGAACGUGCCCUGUAGUGGGGGAUAACUAGUCGAAAGAUUAGCUAAUACCGCAUACGACCUGAGGGUGAAAGUGGGGGACCGCAAGGCCUCAUGCUAUAGGAGCGGCCGAUGUCUGAUUAGCUAGUUGGUGAGGUAAAGGCUCACCAAGGCGACGAUCAGUAGCUGGUCUGAGAGGACGAUCAGCCACACUGGGACUGAGACACGGCCCAGACUCCUACGGGAGGCAGCAGUGGGGAAUUUUGGACAAUGGGCGAAAGCCUGAUCCAGCAAUGCCGCGUGUGUGAAGAAGGCCUUCGGGUUGUAAAGCACUUUUGUCCGGAAAGAAAUGGCUCUGGUUAAUACCUGGGGUCGAUGACGGUACCGGAAGAAUAAGGACCGGCUAACUACGUGCCAGCAGCCGCGGUAAUACGUAGGGUCCAAGCGUUAAUCGGAAUUACUGGGCGUAAAGCGUGCGCAGGCGGUUGUGCAAGACCGAUGUGAAAUCCCCGAGCUUAACUUGGGAAUUGCAUUGGUGACUGCACGGCUAGAGUGUGUCAGAGGGGGGUAGAAUUCCACGUGUAGCAGUGAAAUGCGUAGAGAUGUGGAGGAAUACCGAUGGCGAAGGCAGCCCCCUGGGAUAACACUGACGCUCAUGCACGAAAGCGUGGGGAGCAAACAGGAUUAGAUACCUUGGUAGUCCACCCCGCCCUAAACGAUGUCAAACUAGUUGUUGGGGAUUCUUGUUUUCCCUUGGCUAACGUAGCUAACGCGUGAAGUUGAUCGCGGCUGGGGUGUAUGGUCGCAGAUAUACNCCGNGNUNUUNUGNNNNNCACCGAAUAC
rnacentral:rRNA from 1 species